rnacentral:rRNA from 1 species
AUGUACAUUCCUACAUCAUAGCGUUAAUGCAUUGGAUCUCAUUAGAACUCUGCAGUUAAGUGGGCUUAGACUAGAGUAGUAUUGGGAUGGGUGACCUCCUGGGAAGUACUAGUGUUUUACAUG